rnacentral:tRNA from 1 species
GCGGAUGUGGCGGAACUGGCAGACGCGUCAGACUUAGGAUCUGGUGCCGAAAGGCGUGGGGGUUCGAGUCCCUUCAUCCGCA